ncrna:unclassified sequences IS605-orfB-I RNA
UCCAGAUAAACUUGUAUUCACCCAAGAGAGUGGAGCAAGUCACUUUACGGAAUUAUAACAAGUAACACAUUUCAGGAUUGCCAAAUGCUUACAUAUAAGUGAAAUCUUGAAAUGCCAGGAUAACCGUAUGUCCUUUAACAUAUUUUGUGUUAUAAAAAUAAUCUUGAAUAACUUUAGUUAAGUUUUCGAGUUACGAUGAG